rnacentral:rRNA from 1 species
GGUUAAGCGACUAAGCGUACACGGUGGAUGCCCUGGCAGUCAGAGGCGAUGAAGGACGUGCUAAUCUGCGAUAAGCGUCGGUAAGGUGAUAUGAACCGUUAUAACCGGCGAUUUCCGAAUGGGGAAACCCAGUGUGAUUCGUCACACUAUCAUUAACUGAAUCCAUAGGUUAAUGAGGCGAACCGGGGGAACUGAAACAUCUAAGUACCCCGAGGAAAAGAAAUCAACCGAGAUUCCCCCAGUAGCGGCGAGCGAACGGGGAGGAGCCCAGAGCCUGAAUCAGUGUGUGUGUUAGUGGAAGCGUCUGGAAAGGCGCGCGAUACAGGGUGACAGCCCCGUACACAAAAAUGCACAUACUGUGAGCUCGAUGAGUAGGGCGGGACACGUGGUAUCCUGUCUGAAUAUGGGGGGACCAUCCUCCAAGGCUAAAUACUCCUGACUGACCGAUAGUGAACCAGUACC